UACGUAGGUGGCAAGCGUUGUCCGGAAUUACUGGGUGUAAAGGGAGCGUAGACGGCAGGGCAAGUCUGAUGUGAAAGGUCGGGGCCCAACCCCGGGACUGCAUUGGAAACUGUCCGGCUGGAGUACAGGAGAGGUAAGUGGAAUUCCUAGUGUAGCGGUGAAAUGCGUAGAUAUUAGGAGGAACACCAGUGGCGAAGGCGGCUUACUGGACUGUAACUGACGUUGAGGCUCGAAAGCGUGGGGAGCAAACAGG
rnacentral:rRNA from 1 species